AUGCAAGUCGUGGGGCAGCGCAGUGUAGCAAUACAUGGGCGGCGACCGGCAAACGGGUGCGGAACACGUACGCAACCUUCCUUUAAGUGGGGGAUAGCCCAGGGAAACUUGGAUUAAUACCCCGUAAUAUUACGGAGUGGCAUCACUUUUUAAUUAUAGCAGCAAUGCGCUUGAAGAUGGGCGUGCGCCUGAUUAGGUAGUUGGCGGGGUAACGGCCCACCAAGCCUUCGAUCAGUAACUGGUGUGAGAGCACGACCAGUCACACGGGCACUGAGACACGGGCCCGACUCCUACGGGAGGCAGCAGUAAGGAAUAUUGGUCAAUGGACGAAAGUCUGAACCAGCCAUGCCGCGUGGAGGAUGAAGGUCCUCUGGAUUGUAAACUUCUUUUAUUUGGGAAGAAACCCACGAUUUCUAUUGUGGUUGACGGUACCAGAUGAAUAAGCACCGGCUAACUCCGUGCCAGCAGCCGCGGUAAUACGGAGGGUGCAAGCGUUAUCCGGAUUCACUGGGUUUAAAGGGUGCGUAGGCGGGCAGGUAAGUCAGUGGUGAAAUCCCCGAGCUUAACUUGGGAACUGCCGUUGAUACUAUCUGUCUUAAAUACUAUGGAGGUAAGCGGAAUAUGUCAUGUAGCGGUGAAAUGCUUAGAUAUGACAUAGAACACCAAUUGCGAAGGCAGCUUGCUACACAGUUAUUGACGCUGAGGCACGAAAGCGUGGGGAUCAAACAGGAUUAGAUACCCUGGUAGUCCACGCCCUAAACGAUGAUUACUCGACAUCAGCGAUACACUGUUGGUGUCUGAGCGAAAGCAUUAAGUAA
rnacentral:rRNA from 1 species